rnacentral:tRNA from 1 species
GCAGUAGUGGCGGAACUGGUAGACGCGUACGUUUGAGGGGCGUAUGGGGCAACUCGUGUGAGUUCAAGUCUCACUUACUGCACCA